rnacentral:rRNA from 1 species
GAUCAUGGCUCAGGAUGAACGCUAGCUACAGGCUUAACACAUGCAAGUCGAGGGGCAGCAUGAACUUAGCUUGCUAAGUUUGAUGGCGACCGGCGCACGGGUGAGUAACACGUAUCCAACCUGCCGAUGACUCGGGGAUAGCCUUUCGAAAGAAAGAUUAAAUACCCGAUGGCAUAGUUCUUCCGCAUGGUAGAACUAUUAAAGAAUUUCGGUCAUCGAUGGGGAUGCGUUCCAUUAGGG